rnacentral:rRNA from 1 species
GAAUCCCGUCCUUGGUACGGACCCCCAGGGCUUCUGUGAUGCGCUCUCGAAGAGUCGAGUUGUUUGGGAAUGCAGCUCAAAAUGGGUGGUGAACUCCAUCUAAAGCUAAAUAUUGGCGAGAGACCGAUAGCGAACAAGUACCGUGAGGGAAAGAUGAAAAGCACUUUGGAAAGAGAGUGAAACAGUACGUGAAAUUGUUGAAAGGGAAACGCUUAAAGUCAGUCGCGUCCGCCGAGACUCAGCCUCGCUCCGGCUUGGUGUAUUUCUCGGUCGACGGGUCAGCGUCAAUUUCGCCCCUCGGAUAAUGGCAAUGGAAAGGUGGCACCUUUGCGGGUGUGUUAUAGUCCUUUGUCGCAUGCGAGGGGUGGGAUUGAGGAACUCAGCACGCACGCCCUCUGGGGUGUGUCGGGGCCAAGGCCCACGCCACGUGCUUAGGAUGCUGGCGUAAUGGCUUUAAACGACCCGUCUUGAAACACGGACCAAGGAGUCUAACAUGCCCGCGAGUGUUCGGGUGGAAAACCCGUGCGCGUAAUGAAAGUGAAAGUUGGGACCUUCGUCGUGAAGGGCACCGACGCCCGGACCAGACCUUCUGUGACGGAUCUGCGGUGGAGCGUGCAUGUUGGGACCCGAAAGAUGGUGAACUAUGCCUGAAUAGGGUGAAGCCAGAGGAAACUCUGGUGGAGGUCCGCAGCCGUUCUGACGUGCAAAUCGAUGGUCAAAUCUGGGCAUAGGGGCGAAAGACUAAUCGAACCAUCUAGUAGCUGGUUCCCUCC